rnacentral:rRNA from 1 species
AAGACCUUGCGCUUUUGGAGCGGCCGAUGUCUGAUUAGCUUGUUGGUGAGGUAAAAGCUUACCAAGGCUUCGAUCAGUAGCUGGUCUGAGAGGACGGCCAGCCACACUGGGACUGAGACACGGCCCAGACUCCUACGGGAGGCAGCAGUGGGGAAUUUUGGACAAUGGGGGCAACCCUGAUCCAGCCAUGCCGCGUGAGUGAAGAAGGCCUUCGGGUUGUAAAGCUCUUUCAGCCGGAACGAAACGGUUACGGUUAAUACCCGUGAUUACUGACGGUACCGGAAGAAGAAGCACCGGCUAACUACGUGCCAGCAGCCGCGGUAAUACGUAGGGUGCGAGCGUUAAUCGGAAUUACUGGGCGUAAAGCGUGCGCAGGUGGUUUUGUAAGUCAGAUGUGAAAGCCCCGGGCUCAACCUGGAACU